rnacentral:piRNA from 1 species
UAGUGUUGAACAUGGGUCUUAAAGCUAAGCUU